AUAUGAGGAAUGAUUUGACUGAUUGCAACCUCUUGUACUGAAUAUUUUUUUCAGUAUAAAAAAUGCUAAA
rnacentral:ncRNA from 1 species